CCUACGGGAGGCUGCAGUGAGGAAUAUUGGUCAAUGGGCGCGAGCCUGAACCAGCCAAGUAGCGUGAAGGAUGACUGCCCUACGGGUUGUAAACGUCUGGUAUAAAGGAAUAAAGUGAGGCACGUGUGCCUUUUUGUAUGUACGUUAUGAAUAAGGAUAGGAUAACUCCGUGCCAGCAGCCGCGGUAAUACGGAGGAUCCGAGCGUUAUCCGGAUUUAGUGGGUUGAAAGGGAGCGUAGAUGGGUUGUUAAGUCAGUUGUGAAAGUUUGCGGCUCAACCGUAAAAUUGCAAUUGAUACUGGCAUCCUUGCGUACAGUUGUGGUAGGCGGAAUUCGUGGUGUAGCGGU
rnacentral:rRNA from 1 species